AGGAGAGUUUGAUCCUGGCUCAGGAUGAACGCUGGCGGCGUGCUUAACACAUGCAAGUCGAACGGGGUUUAAGAAGGAAGCUUGCUUUCAUUUUAAACCUAGUGGCGGACGGGUGAGUAACGCGUGAGGAACCUGCCCUUCAGUGGGGAACAACAACUAGAAAUGGUUGCUAAUACCGCAUAAUGUCGGAGAGCCGCAUGACUUUCCGACCAAAGGAUUUAUUCGCUGAAGGAUGGCCUCGCGUCCGAUUAGAUAGUUGGUGAGGUAACGGCCCACCAAGUCUACGAUCGGUAGCCGAACUGAGAGGUUGAUCGGCCACAUUGGGACUGAGACACGGCCCAGACUCCUACGGGAGGCAGCAGUGGGGAAUAUUGGGCAAUGGGCGAAAGCCUGACCCAGCAACGCCGCGUGAAGGAUGACGGUCUUCGGAUUGUAAACUUCUUUAAUUGGGGAAGAACAAAAUGACCUACCCAAAGAAUAAGUCACGGCUAACUACGUGCCAGCAGCCGCGGUAAUACGUAGGUGACAAGCGUUAUCCGGAUUUACUGGGCGUAAAGGGCGUGUAGGCGGUCUUGCAAGUCAGAAGUGAAAUUCCUGAGCUCAACUCGGGCGCUGCUUCUGAAACUGCAGGACUUGAGUGCUGGAGGGGAUAGCGGAAUUCCUAGUGGAGCGGUAAAAUGCGCAGAUAUUAGGAAGAACACCGGUGGCGAAGGCGGCUAUCUGGACAGUAACUGACGCUGAGGCGCGAAAGCGUGGGGAGCAAACAGGAUUAGAUACCCUGGUAGUCCCCU
rnacentral:rRNA from 1 species